rnacentral:pre_miRNA from 1 species
AGUGGGUUAGCUGGGUCAAAGGGUGGUUCCAUUCCAUGUUUUCCAAGGAAUAUCCAUACUUCUUUUCAUAUUGGCUGCACCAAUUUGUAGUCCCACCAGCAAA